rnacentral:rRNA from 1 species
CAGUCGCCGCGGGAAUACGAAGGGGGCUAGCGUUGCUCGGAAUGACUGGGCGUAAAGGGCGCGUAAGCGGAUGGCACAGUCAGAUGUGAAAUUCCCGGGCUUAACCUGGGGGCUGCAUUUGAUACGUGUUGUCUAGAGUGAGGAAGAGGGUCGUGGAAUUCCCAGUGUAGAGGUGAAAUUCGUAGAUAUUGGGAAGAACACCGGUGGCGAAGGCGGCGACCUGGUCCUUUACUGACGCUGAGGCGCGAAAGCGUGGGGAGCAAACAGGAUUAGAUACCCCGGUAGUCCCUGUCUCUUAUAU